UCGAGUUGGACAUAGUACGGCGUGAUAAGUAUCUUCGCCGGCACCUCGCAAGAGGGUGGCCGAUUGGGAGCUCUGUGCUUUCAAACCGUCUUCGGACAAUUUCUGACAACUUGACCUCAAAUCGAGUAGGACUACCCGCUGAACUUAAGCAUAUCAAUAAGCGGAGGAAAAGAAACUAACAAGGAUUCCCCUAGUAACGGCGAGUGAAGAGGGAAGAGCUCAAAUUUUGAAUCUGGCGUCUUUGGCGUCCGAAUUGUAAUCUAGAGAAGUGUUUUCCGUGACGGACCGUGCACAAGUCUCCUGGAAUGGAGCGUCAUAGAGGGUGAGAAUCCCGUAUAUGGCAUGGACUGCCGUUGCUCUGUGAUACACUCUCGACGAGUCGAGUUGUUUGGGAAUGCAGCUCUAAAUGGGUGGUAAAUGCCAUCUAAAGCUAAAUAUUGGCGAGAGACCGAUAGCGAACAAGUACCGUGAGGGAAAGAUGAAAAGCACUUUGGAAAGAGAGUGAAACAGUACGUGAAAUUGUUGAAAGGGAAACGCUUGAAGUCAGUCGCGCCGUUCGGGAUUCAGCCUUGCUUCUGCUCGGUUUACUUCCUGUUGGGUGGGUCAACAUCAGUUUUGGUCGGAGGAGAAAGGCUUGGGGAAUGUGGCAGCAUUCGUGCUGUGUUAUAGCCCCUUGUUGUAUACUUCGGCUGGGACUGAGGACCGCAGCACGCCUUUGGCCGGGGUUCGCCCACGUACGUGCUUAGGAUGUUGGCAUAAUGGCUUUAAGCGACCCGUCUUGAAACACG
rnacentral:rRNA from 1 species